GACGAACCGAGCGAACGUUGUUCGGAAUCACUGGGCUUAAAGGGCGCGUAGGCGGGUGCUCAAGUCUGUGGUGAAAUCCUCCAGCUUAACUGGAGAACUGCCAUGGAUACUGGGUGUCUCGAGGAACGUAGGGGUAUGCGGAACGAUUGGUGGAGCGGUGAAAUGCGUUGAUAUCAAUCGGAACUCCGGUGGCGAAGGCGGCAUACUGGACGUUUUCUGACGCUGAGGCGCGAAAGC
rnacentral:rRNA from 1 species